AACGAACGCUGGCGGCAUGCCUAACACAUGCAAGUCGAACGAGACCUUCGGGUCUAGUGGCGCACGGGUGCGUAACGCGUGGGAACCUGCCCUUAGGUUCGGAAUAACUCCCCGAAAGGGGUGCUAAUACCGGAUAAUGUCUUCGGACCAAAGAUUUAUCGCCUUUGGAUGGGCCCGCGUUGGAUUAGCUAGUUGGUAGGGUAAAAGCCUACCAAGGCGACGAUCCAUAGCUGGUCUGAGAGGAUGAUCAGCCACACUGGGACUGAGACACGGCCCAGACUCUUCCGGGGGGAAGAGGGGGGAAAUUUGGAAAAAGGGGCAAAGGCCUGACCAAGCAAGGCCGGGGGAGGAAGGAAGCCCUGGGGGUGGAAAACUUUUUUUCCCCGGGAGAAAAAUAACAGUCCCGGGAGAAAAAGCCCCGCCUACCCCCGUG
rnacentral:rRNA from 1 species